AUGGAAGGCCCCCAAAGGACAGCUUCCCUCUUCCUCCUGCUACUCUGGCUCCCAGAUACCACCGGAGAAAUUGUGUUGACGCAGUCUCCAGCCACGCUGUCUUUGUCUCCAGGAGAAAGAGCCACCCUCUCCUGCAGGGCCAGUCAGAGUGUCAGCAGCAGCUUAGCCUGGUACCAGCAGAAACCUGGGCAGGCUCCCAGGCUCCUCAUCUAUGGUGCAUCCAGCAGGGCCACUGGCAUCCCAGACAGGUUCAGUGGCAGUGGGUCUGGGACAGAGUUCACUCUCACCAUCAGCAGCCUGGAGCCUGAAGAUUUUGCUGUUUAUUAUUGUCAGCAGUAUAGUAACUGGCCUCACACACCCCCUCCCUGUGUCCCAAGUGAGAGGGUCACUGUCACCUGCAGGGCUGGCUGGACUAUGAACAGCAUCCUAGUCUGGCACCAGUGUAAAUCAGGCCUUACUCUGAGCUCCCGCUGGCUCCUGCUGCCCCGCAGGACGUGA